rnacentral:antisense_RNA from 1 species
AACCAAAAACAACCUUUUUAUUUUUCAUUUUACUCUUUUUAGAGUAAUUACUCCUUUUUCCAUCGGCCUAACCAACCGAUGGUUUUUUUA